GCCGCGUUGCAGUGCAUUCUUGUAGUCAAGUUCGGAAGCCCCUCCAGUCACUUUGGUAGUAAUCUCCCGCAAUUUUCGCUUCCAAGAAAGAACUGCAAACUAUCGCAAUUCAACCAAAUAGAGGAAUUUCCGUGAUUACAGGAACAGUUAAGUGGUUCAACGACGCCAAGGGCUUCGGUUUCAUCACCCCGUCCGACGGUGGCAAGGAUGUCUUCGUGCAUCACUCCGCCAUUCAGGGCAGCGGUUUCAAGACCCUGGCUGAAGGCCAGAAGGUUCAGUUCACGCUGGAGCAGGGCCCGAAGGGUCCGUCCGCCGCGAACGUACAGGCAGCCUAAGCGUCGCGCACUGCGUAAGCAGAUUUGAUGGAAAGACCCUGCCGCAAGGCGGGGUCUUUUUU
rnacentral:sRNA from 1 species